rnacentral:rRNA from 1 species
UUUGGCGAGUAGAGUGGCGCACGGGUGAGUAACGCGUGGGUAAUCUGCCUUGGAACCGGGGAGAACGGGUCGAAAGGGGUGCUAAUACCGGAUGACAUCCAGGUGUCUUCGGGCGCCUGGAUCAAAGAUGGCCUCUCCAUGGAAGCUGUUGUUCGAAGAUGAGCCCGCGUACCAUUAGCUUGUUGGUGGGGUAAAGGCCCACCAAGGCGACGAUGGGUAGCUGGUCUGAGAGGAUGAUCAGCCACACUGGCACGUGACACACGGGCCAGACUCCUACGGGAGGCAGCAGUGAGGAAUUUUGCGCAAUGGGGGUAACCCUGACGCAGCAACGCCGCGUGAGUGAAGAAGGCCUUCGGGUCGUAAAGCUCUGUCGAGUGGGAAGAACCCGCAUCAGGUGACAAGGCUGAUGCGCUGACGGUACCACUGGAGGAAGCACCGGCUAACUCCGUGCCAGCAGCCGCGGUAAUACGGAGGGUGCAAGCGUUAUUCGGAAUUACUGGGCGUAAAGGGCGCGCAGGCGGACUGGUAAGUCAGUAGUGAAAGCCCGGGGCUCAACCCCGGAAGUGCUGCUGAA